rnacentral:rRNA from 1 species
GAUGAACGCUAGCGGCAGGCUUAAUACAUGCAAGUCGUGGGGCAGCAGGUCCGUCGCAAGACGGACGCUGGCGACCGGCAAACGGGUGCGGAACACGUACGCAACCUUCCUUUAACUGGAGAAUAGCCCCUCGAAAGAGGGAUUAAUACUCCGUAACAUAAUGAUGAGGCAUCUCUUUAUUAUUAAAGCUCCGGCGGUUAAAGAUGGGCGUGCGCCUGAUUAGAUAGUUGGCGGGGUAACGGCCCACCAAGUCUGCGAUCAGUAACUGGUGUGAGAGCACGACCAGUCACACGGGCACUGAGACACGGGCCCGACUCCUACGGGAGGCAGCAGUAAGGAAUAUUGGUCAAUGGACGCAAGUCUGAACCAGCCA